GUUGCUCGAUCAGGACCUUAGCUUUAUUGCGAGCCCAGAAGUCU
rnacentral:sRNA from 1 species